rnacentral:rRNA from 1 species
AUACGGAGGAUGCGAGCGUUAUCCGGAUUUAUUGGGUUUAAAGGGUGCGUAGGCUGUGCGUUAAGUCAGGGGUGAAAUGCCGUCGCUCAACGACGGAGCUGCCCUUGAUACUGGCGUGCUGGAGUACGGAUGCCGUUGGAGGAAUGAGUGGUGUGGCGGUGAAAUGCUUAGAUAUCACUCAGAACACCGAUUGCGAAGGCAUCUGACGAAUCCGUCACUGACGCUGAGGCACGAAAGCGUGGGGAUAGAACAGGAUUAGAUACCCUGGUAUUCCACGCCGUAAACGAUGAUGACUAACCGUCGGCGAUAGACAGCCGGUGGCCAAGCGAAAGCGAUAAGUCAUCCACCUGGGGAGUACGUCGGCAACGAUGAAACUCAAAUGAAUUGGCGGGG